AUGCUAUGGUGUUUGUAGAUAAUUAAUUAGUCCAGCCACAAUCACUCAAUGCCAAAUAAAAGUGUAACUAAUAACUAAUUCCAUUUUUACCUGUUGUUUUCAUAGUCCAUUUUAUAUUCAAUUUGUACUGUAGAAAAAGAAAUAUGACUUCUCAAAUUAUAGGAGUAAGGAGCGCCCAUCAUCAGGGAACGCAUGCUCAUACUCAAUUUGAACCAAUAAUUGCCCAUUUAUUACAGCUAAGCCCACAUUUGAAAGUUCAAACAAGAUUAACAACUCAUUAG
rnacentral:misc_RNA from 1 species